CUUGCAAACUAAAGAUGGCGACCGGCGCACGGGUGAGUAACACGUAUCCAGCCUGCCGAUAACUCGGGGAUAGCCUUUCGAAAGAAAGAUUAAUAUCCGAUAGUAUAUUAAAACCGCAUGGUUUUACUAUUAAAGAAUUUCGGUUAUCGAUGGGGAUGCGUUCCAUUAGUUUGUUGGCGGGGUAACGGCCCACCAAGACUACGAUGGAUAGGGGUUCUGAGAGGAAGGUCCCCCACAUUGGAACUGAGACACGGUCCGA
rnacentral:rRNA from 1 species